GCUGUCCAACACACCUCAGUCAUCAUCUUCACUCAGCCCCAUAGCCUCCAUUAUUGGACUUAGUUUACAAAAAUAUUAUUUUCUUUUUACUUUAUAAGAAAAAAUCAUGACUAGAUUAAUAUUUGUGCAAUACAAUUUCGACUUGGACAAACAAAUACGUGCCUAUAUAUUUGCAUACCUUUGUUGCAUACUUAUCUAGUUUUUGAAGCUAAAGAUGGCUAUGUAGUUGUGCUCUUACUUGUCUUCCUUCAUCAUGAAGUAUUUACUGUUUCUUCAUCCAUAUUACCUCAUCUCUCUCACAAAUGUCAAACCAUUUCCCUUCUAAAAUUCAAGCAGUCAUUUACUAUAGAUUCCUCACUCUUUUCUUUUUGUCAGAAGUAUUAUCCAAAAACAAGUUCAUGGAACAUGAGCAGAGAUUGUUGUUCAUGGGAUGGAGUCAUAUGCGAUGACAUGACUGGCCAUGUUAUUGAGCUUGACCUCGGCUGUAGCGGUCUUGUUGGGACCAUUGAUUCCAAUAGCAGUCUAUUCCAACUCUCAUCUCCAAAGGCUUGAUCUUUCUUCGAAUAACUUUUCCAAUUCUCAUAUCCCCCCUGAAUUCGGUCGAUACUUUGUUCUGAAGGCCUAGCGAGUUCUUUUUUUUUUCAAAGGCGGCCCCAUUGACCGAACCACGUUAAGUCUUUGUGUCUUUUGGUAUGUUUCUCGUUGUCUUCUUACUCAUGGUCUUUCGAUGUUUGCAUUGCUAGCUUCCGCACUUACACCUGCUUAUUUCCGGUCCUAACAAAGGGUGCAUUCCUCAAGGCAAUCAAUUUCAGACCUUUGAGAACAAUUCAUAUGAAGGGAAUGAUGGAUUACGUGGAUUUCCCGUUACAAAAAGUUGUGGUGAUCAUCGUGUAUCAGGGACAUAUUAUGUUGUAUCUGAACAGCUAGAUGAUGAAGAAAACAGUUCUGAAUUUCUGAGUGAUUUUUGGAAAGCUGCUUUUAUGGGCUACGGAAAUGGACUAUGUAUUGAAAUAUCCAUGGUAUAUUUCAUGAUUUCAACUGGAAAAACCGAUAUGGCUUGCAAGAAUCAUUCUAGAGUUGGAGCAAAAAAUUAUUAUGGGAAGGAGAAAGAAGUGUGAAGGUAAAUGUAUUACAAAAGAAGAAAUAAUUGUUGUUUCCAAUGAUUAAUCAGUUUUUGGACCUUUUUGUAGGCUUUUAAUCAAACAGAUGUACUAUCAUUUGUUCUCUACCAAUUAAAAUGUUGUACUUAUAUUGAUAGAAAAAUGGACUAGUUCUGUUUUCAAAGUGAGAACUGAUAUUUGAAACAUUAAUUUUGGACAACCGAA